rfam:Protochlamydia naegleriophila strain KNic genome assembly, chromosome: cPNK
UCCGGAUUAGCUCAGCGGUAGAGCAGUGGACUGUUAAUCCAUUGGUCGCUAGUUCGAAUCUAGCAUCCGGAG